rnacentral:lncRNA from 1 species
GGGAGCCCGGCGGACGCUGGGUCUGCAGAUGCCAUCCAGGCGCACGGCGGGUAUAGUGGUUCCGCAACCUUGGGAUGUUCGGCUGAGCGCCUGCCUAACAUGGGAGCGCCUGCCUAACCCUCCUGACUGGAGGGUCAGCGGCGGGGAGUCCUGGCCUUCAAUCGGCCAUCGCCACGGCAGAAACUGGGGCCCGGGCUGCGUCCAGGCCCUUCCCCGUCCGUCCACAGGUCUCAUGGGCGCCCGGACUGGGGCUGAUGUAGUUUCCCGACCUCUGACACAUAGGAUCUGGAGAUUAAAGCUGCUCUGCUAAUAAUUAGGUUCCCACCUCUCAAGAUCAUUAGGAGCUUCUUUUCCAAUUCCUCUGUUUUGCAUGCAUUGGAAGGAUCUGGAGCUCAGGACCCACUACCUCCCCGGCCCACUGCAAGCUUGAACAUUUGAUGGUGGACACCCCUCCCUGACUUUGUAUUAUGUGUCACUGGUGUGGGGGUUACCUUCCCACUAUGUCUCCCAGAAGACAUGAGGGCACAGACUACAGUGCCUGUGGACAGAGGAGCUGUGGGGAUGGAAGUGUGAUUGCUUCAUUCAAAUGCACGCCCCGGUGCGUGUGCGUCUCUUCUGAUGCAGCUCCCCAUGGGCCCCUGGAUCCUCCUGGAAUCCCUGAUCCCUGUUGCUCCCUGGCGGAGUUUUCUAGUCCCUCUUACUUGAAGCAUGUCUUUCAGAGCCCGGCACCACCCAAGUUGGGUAUCUGAUACCCCAUCAGCCUGAGUCUCUUAAAGGCCUUUAUACACAUAUGUCUACACAUAGGGAUUUGGAUGAUCUCGGGAUCCCACAUCCUCGCUGUCCCCUGUCCCCCCACAACAUCCCACACCAAUACCUUUCUGAAGUUUUCUAGUCCCUCCUUUUUGUUUGUGGUCCUUAAAGCCCAGCCCCAUGCCUGACUUUGGUUCCCAGUGAGCAUUGUACAUUUGUGGAUAUUAAAUCUUUGGCAAAGUCAUUUACCUGGGCUGGAAUAGGGCUCUUGGCUGAUUCUUUUUCCUAAACACCCACCCAAUGGGAGAGGCUGAUACUCAACAUGCAAACCUUGUGUUUUAUUUCUCCAGGCGAAGGGAUGUUGGAAGACAUUCUGGAAGGGGUGGGGUGUGAAGAUUUACAAAUAAUCUUUGAAUAUCUGCUUCAUGAUAGGUCUUGGAGGUGCCUUGUGGGUGUGGCUUUGGGGGGAUGGUUACGAGGAAAUUGUGGAUAUUAAGGAAGUCAGGAAAGGAAAAGAUCAGUCACAAUUCAACAAUUCAGAGAAAGCUCCUAAGGGACUUUCUGGCUGCUUGAUGCCCAGAGGCCAGGCCCUCACUUCGUAUUAAGGCUCAGGACUGUGGAUAGAGAAUUUAAAGGGGCACCAAAAAAACAUUAAAAUAGAUAAACAUAUUUUUAAUGGAAUACCUUUAAAAAUGCAAAUCAAUGCACAAAGAAAACGCCCA